GGCCAGGCAGGUGAGGGCAGGGCACAGGGCUUGUGUAGAGUUGCUGAGAAGGGCACUCUGGAGGAAGAGUAGAUGGGUCAAGGCCUCUGUCUGUUCUUCCUCAAGACGUUCUGGGGUUGGACUGCACCUCAUCUCUGAAGCAGUCUGGGCUUCUCCAGGUCCUGGUCCCCUCUCUCCCCACCUCCUCUAUCUCUGUUCACUCCUUUCUAAGCCUCUGUCUUUGAUUUUGUUUCUGUCUUAGAAGAGAAGCAAAUACCACUCAAAUUGGGGCAUGUGCACAAAAGAGCGGCCAUUCUCCCCCCCCAGAGCCAUGGAUUUCUCAGGGAAAGCAAGGGGCCCUUUCAGAAAUUUGUGUGCUGGGUCCAGACCACAGCCUGGGCCCUCUGCCUCUUCUCUCUCCCUGAACCUCUGGAUGGGCCGUCUGGAUGCCACAUGUGUUUCUCUGCCCCUUUACUAAUCACUGUCUCUCCCUGGGGGCACAAAGGGAACCCUGACAGUUUCCUGGAUUUGUCCAGACCUUUAUGGGAUCUUAAAAGGAAGUGGGUGUGGAAAUGGGAUGUUUGGGGUGGAGCCUGGGUGGAGAAAAAGGAGAGGGAGGAGUUGGGGUGGGGGCUCCCAGGAGUGGGCCCUCUUUCUCUGCUGAGGAGGAAGCCCACAGAGAAACAUGGGCUGUGGGCUGAUCCAGAGGGAGGGGGCGGUGGGCUGGACCUGUGCUAUGAAAACUAAGCUGAUAUCCCAGCGCCCUUACCCCACUACUGUCCCCCUACCCCAAAACCCUGCAGGGCUCAGGGCACAGGUAGGAAGGUGACAGCUUCGUUUAUGGGCCCCAAACUGCAAGGAGGUGGCAAUUAGCCCUCAGUGGGUCAAAGGAGAGCAACAAUGUGCCCUGCCUUUUGAGGCUUUGAGGGGCCCCGGUGUGGAGCCCUCAAAAGUGGCUUGGCUAUUCUAGGAGCAUCUAGGCCCUCAGUCUUUCCCAACUCCCAUCUCCUAGACUCCAAAACCAGGACCCGCCCCUGGCCCAGUAAAACUGCCUCGGAUGGACCCCAUCUUCUACUGCAAUUUAGUGUCAGCCCCACUCAUUGCUAAUAGCUUCCUGCAUCCCCUCUCCAAAUGCCUUUCUGGGGGCUUGACCAGGUGGUGAGCUUAGGUUGUGGAGCAGGAUUUCAGAGGUUACAUUUGUCACAGGAUUAAGUUGUUCCAUAUCCCUCAGAUGGGCUCGUGCAUAUUUGGAACUCUCCCCCAAAUCUUGGGACCCCAAUCUACAUGUGCCAUUGGUAUUCUCCCAGAGUGAAGGGAUGCAAUUCUAGCCAAACUUCGAUUUAGUGCAUGCAGGCUGAAGUCUUUCUACAUCAUAAAUAAAACCUCAUUUUUGAUCCCCAUGAAUCCCCCUGCCUAUACAGCUUUACCCACGUUCUAACCCUAACCCAAGCCUAUUCUAACUCGAGUCCCAAACUCAAUUCUAACCCAGCUGUAACCCGAAUCCUAAAUAAAUCUCAACCCAGCCUUCAGUUUAGCUCUAACUGCAUUCCCAAGCACAGCUAUAUGAAACUAAAACCCUGUUUACCAUAACCCGAAUCCCAGUCAUGAACCCUAGCCUCAGUUCUAGCUGUCAUUCUAACCCUAAUCUCAACCUUCAUUCCCAUCCCAACCUCAAAUCUGACCUCAACCUCAUUCAUAAUUCCAAUUGACCAACCCCAAUCUUAACCCCAACUCCAGCCUUCUCCCCAACUCCAACAUUUGCCCAAAUCCAGAUUCAAUUUAACUCGAACCCCACCUUCAGUUUAAUGGACCCUCAACCUCACUACUUUCUUUGCAGUCUCCCUCUUCCCGGUCCCAUCCGUUCUCCCCUCCACCCAUCCCUGACCUUCCCCACGGGUGGGUCUAGUAACCCACAGGGUCACCAAGCUAUUUUCUUGGACCACUCUGGAUUGAAAGUCAGAAUGCCUGGGUGUCUCCCUCUUAGUCAAGCCACAGUAGCAUCACCUGGGCUGACUCCUCCUGUUUCUCCAGGCCAUUGUUUCCCCCCUAUAAAGUGGGGAUAAUGAUCCCUGCUCUCCAGAGUGUGCAGGACAAUCCUGUAAACCCCCAAAAUAAACAAGGAAAUGAAAAUAUUCAUUGUGUACAUCUGGUGGGUGCCAGAGCACCCUGUUAUUGUUGGGAGAGCAGGGCGAGGGGUUUGGAAUGCAGAGAUGCGUGGACUCCUUGUCCUUCCUUAUUGUUCUGUCUUAUUUUUCCUGGAGGGGUGGGCUCAGCAUCCCUGAGCCCCAUAACUCUCCCCAAGACUCUUUCCUCACUGCUCUUCCUGUGCCCCCUGUCAGGGAUGGGGGAAGGCCCUUGACUCCUCUGAGGGAGUUGAGCUGUUGAAUGGGGCCAUUCACUGUGUGUGGGGGCAGUCCUGGAGUCCAGGGAGGCUCAAGGCCUGUUCUGGGAACCCCUGGACCCACUAGCAAGCGCAGGCCCUCCACUUUCUCUCUCUGCCCACCAGGACCCUCCCCACCCCAGCUCCAACCUUCCCAGAACUGUACUGGCUUAGCCACUUGACGAGCAGUCCCGGUUAUGAGGGUCCUUGGUCUCCUUUUUUGUGCAUAGAAGCACAGACACCAAAUGAUCCCUACAACAAGUCCACACAGAGGGGCUCAGCCCUUCUCGACAUGAUGCACGGGCAUGUCCCAGUGAGUGGGUGCACACGUACACAGGCACAACCCUUCCAGGCCCUCCUGGUGCUAUUCCCUCCAGCAUCCCCUGACCCACCCCAUCCACUCACCUCGCUCUGUCCACACUCCCUGAUACCUCUCCUUCAGGCCUCACUGAACUGGUUUUAGUUCUGUGUGGGAGGUGAGGGGCUGGAUCCCUCAUAAUGCCACCAGCUUCCAGGGAUUCCCCUAUGCUCAGGGAUGACCUUGCAUCAGGGAUGGAUUGGGGCACAACUCCAGAGGGGGCGGCCAGGGGAAGACCAUGUUCCCUCACACACCCCUUCCCUCCCUCUUUCAGCUCAGGAGGGCUGACUCCCUUUGAAGUCCUGGGUCCCUUUCAUCUGGCUGGGCCUCCCCUCCAGCCCCAGUGCCCCCUUCCCUGCUGCCUCAACCUGGGGUCGGGGGGUGGGGACCCUGGAGAGUCGUGGAUAUAUAUGUGAAGGCGUGGGGAUGUGGAAUGCUGGAGGCUGCACUGGGAGGGUGUGUUGGACACCUGUGCCCUGGGGUGAGUGUUGACCCUUCAAGGCCUGGCCAGCCUUCCAUCCCAAGCCUGGCUUCUCCUUCCUCUUCUCCAUUUCCCCUGGGGAAGGAGGCAACAAAUGAGUGGUGAGGGGAACUCUGUGGACGCUGUGAAAUGGGGCGACUGUUGUCACCUCGAGGAUGUGGCCAGGAGGAAGUGGAAAUUUAACAGAUGCCUAAUUACAAGUCCCACUGGCCUCCCUGAGCCACUCUCGGGAUAGGGAAGAGCUUGGGUAAGGGCUGGGUAAUGCCUGGGUAGGCCACUCUGUCACCCCGCUAAUUAGGUUUCCUGGGACUCCUCCCCAAGGCGGGGACCAGGCCCCCUCCCUCCCAUAGAAAUAACUCUGGCUGCUCCCCAGCUGGGCACUCAUUGCACCUUCCUGCCACCCUGGGCAGUGUCUGGGUCCUCAGCUCCCCCUCCCUCCACACACCACCACUGGCCCACCGCCAGCGGCCCCCGGGAUACCCAGCCCAGGCGGAGGAAACACCGAGCCUAGAGACAUGGGAGUUCGAGGAGCAUUCCACCUUCUACUCGUGUGCCUGAGCCCAGCACUGCUGUCUGCUGUGCGGAUCAACGGGGAUGGCCAGGAGAUCCUGUACCUGGCGGAAGGUGAUAAUGUGAGACUGGGCUGCCCCUACAUCCUGGACCCUGAGGACUAUGGUCCCAAUGGGCUGGACAUUGAGUGGAUGCAGGUCAACUCAGACCCUUCACAUCGGGAGAAUGUGUUCCUUAGCUACCAGGACAAGAGGAUCAACCAUGGCAACCUCCCCCAUCUGCAGCAGAGGGUCCGCUUUGCAGCCUCAGACCCCAGCCAGUAUGAUGCCUCCAUCAACCUCAUGAACCUGCAGGUAUCUGACACAGCCACCUAUGAGUGCCGGGUGAAGAAGACCACCAUGGCCACUCGGAAGGUCAUCGUCACCGUCCAAGCACGGCCUGCGGUGCCCGUGUGCUGGACUGAGGGCCACCUGACACACGGCAACGACGUGGUGCUGAAAUGCUUUGCCAAUGGGGGCACUCCACCUCUCUCCUACAAGUGGGCCAAGAUCAGUGGGCACAGCCGCCCCUACCGUGCUGGGUCCUACCAUUCACAGCAGAGCUUCCACUCUGAGCUCUCUUACCAGGAGUCCUUCCACAGCAACCUGAAUCAAGUUGCAGGCCUGAGCAAUGGUGACCUGGUGUUGAACGACAUCUCCUACAAGGAUGACGGGCUGUACCAGUGCACAGUGGCCAACCAUGUGGGCUACAGUGUGUGUGUGGUGGAGGUGAAGGUCUCAGACACCGGGCGCAUAGGCAUCAUCAUCGGCGCAGUGCUGGGCUCUUUGCUCAUACUGGCCUGCCUGUCGGUGGGCAUCUGGGGGCUCAUCUGCUGCUGCUGCGGCGGCGCCGGGGUUGGCGGCGCCCGCGAUGCCUUCGGCUACCGCAACGGCGGCGGCGGCGGCGGGGUCGGCGGAGGGGCCUGCGGCGACUUGGCUAGUGAGAUCAGAGAGGACGCCGUGGCGCCGGGGUACAAAGCCAGCUGGCGCGGCAGCCGCGUCACCCAGCUCCUGGGGUACCCGACGCAGAACGUCAGCCGCUCCCUGCGCCGCAAGUACGCGCCUCCGCCCUGCGGCGGCCCCGAGGACGUGGCCCUGGCGCCCCUCCCCGCCGCCGCCGCCGCCGCCUGCGAAGCGGGCCCCUCCCCAGUCUACGUCAAGGUCAAGAGCGCCGAGCCCGCCGACUGCGCCCAGGCGCCGCUGCCGGGCAAGGACGGCCUCUUUGUAAGGUCAGAAGAGACGAAACAAGGGGCUGGCAGAGAUGACCUCUCUGAAUGUUCCUGGACCAUUCUGAGCAUCUUUCUUCCUCCUCCCCUCAUCUCUCUGUUCCUGACUUCCUCAUCUCUACCAGAUGUCUGCUUUCCUUCUCAACAACCAGGAAGGCUUUCAGAGUCAUGCUUGUAAGGUAGAAAGACCUUCAAGAUCAUCUAACCUAGGCCUGUUUUAAUGGAAAGGGGAUGGACAUUUAUUGGGCACCAACUAAGUACCAGGCUCUCGAGACAGACAGCACUCGGGGCUCCACCUAGACAGUCCACGUGGGACUCUGAAUGCUGCAGGAGCGGGCAUGAGUUGUGAUAGAUUCCCUGAGCAACAUACUGAGAAAAGCGUCAGAAGAAAGGAAACCAGAAUAAGUCGUCUUUGUAGGAAGCACAACUUGUUUCUGACACACUAGCCAAAUCCUUUCAUUGGUCUCUUUUGUUCCACUGUCUAUGCAUUCAUUCUUUCUUUCAUUUUUAAUUCAUUCUUCAUGUUGGAAGGGUCUUAAGGAUUAUCGAGGGUGGGAAUGGCAAAUAGGUUUCAUCUUGGCUUCCCACUUCAAUUAAUUGGUCAGAAUUACUUGAGCAUUGUGCCAUAUGUGGACUCAGUGGCAAAAAUGUGUUAUCACUAAUUAUCCACGUCUGAGAUGGUGCUGGAAGGUGGAAGUCUGGAUAUAUAUACCACAUAUUUGUCAUUUCUGAUCGAAUGCAACUCCCCACCUAAUAUGAAAAGUCUCUAGUCUCUAGUAUUGCCCUGAGAUGGUUUCUGCUUAGGCACAUUCAUUAAAACGGCUCACUUCAUAUUUGGAUUUCUCCAUUUGCUAGAAAGUUCUUCCCUGGUAGUAUGGUGGAGGGUAAGGGCCUGGACUGAUUUAGAUAACCUAAAACUAAUUCUGACUCUGCCACUGGUAGAUUCUGUAAUUCUAGGGAGUAACAAUCUCUUUGGGCCUCAGUUUUCCACCUGAGAAAUGAAAAACUUGAACUGAGUAACCACAAAGUUUCCUUCCAGCUUAAGAUCCUGUUAUUCAUAUGAGUCAAUAUCUGCCUCACAGUGACAUGUUCCUCAGUUAAAUAGUCUAGCCUCUGUGAGAGCACUUCAAAUAUCUGUGGACUUAUGCCCCUCUGAGUUUCUUGUUCUAGAUUGAACAUGACUGGUUUUUUCAGUCAUUUCUCUUACGAUAAGGUCUCUAGACUUUUCACCAUUCUGGUCAUUCUCUUCUAGACACUGAGUUUUUCAGUGUCUCCCUGGAAGUGUGGCUCCCAGAACUGGAUGCAGGCUGGUCAUGCGUGGGAGUAUUCUCACUACUUACCCAUGGGCUCAGCCUGCCCCUCCUGGCAGAUGGGACCCAUGUUGAGCAGUGCACAGCGUGAGGGGAGGCACCCAUUAAAACUUGCUCAGAUCUGGGGAUAGCUGUACUGUGCAGUUUGAGAGGCACUCCUUCAGUCUGCAUGCAGAAAAGAUGCAAGGAGCCCUGGAGUCAAAUCUGGAAGGAAAUGGUGCUUCCCCCGAAGACCAGUAAGUAACCUAGUACUGAGUAACUGAACAGAUGCUACUUCUUCAUAAACAUGAAAGGAAGAUUUGCCAGAGAUGUCAUUAAUGUUUGCAGCAUCUUUUUUAAAAAAUGAGGCAUUGGGUGCUUGUAUCUCCAUUGAUGAAAAAUAAAUGUCUCGCUAACCCUUCUCUCUUGCUCUGCCCCCUCUCCCUUCUCUCCGACAUUAUGUCACAUGACUCCUUUGUCCUAGCAGCGCUUGUAUUUGUUCUUUGCACAGAAGAAUAGGUACAAAGGCUUUUGCUCAAGGAAAAUAAGAUGAAAACAAGAAAAAGCAAAAGCAGAUUUGGAGAGGAUUCUGGUCUGACCACGAGCCUACUGGAAGUAGUGGUGCAAAGGUUGUCGUGGGAGGAGUCUGACACCCACACAGAAGGGAGCUCUCCUGUCCACCCCAACCCCAGGCAAGGGUGUUCUGAAGACCGCGAGGUCUCACGUGCUCUGGUUUUAAGCCAUCACUCUGACCCUUUCCCUUCCACCUCCCACCCCCUCCUGCCACUCAGCCAUCCUGGCCUCCACUCUUCAUAAACAUCAACCGUACUGCCACUCAGGGCUUUUGCAUCUCUGGUCUCUGUUUGGAACGCUCUUUGCCCAGUCACUGCAUGGCUCAUUCUACUUUACUGGGUUCCUGUUCAAGUGUCACCUCAUCAGAAGGUGUUCUCUGAUUGCCUUAUCUAAGAUGGACCCCUUCUCCCCAACACAUCAUUCUUCAGCCUUUUGCUCUGCCUUAUCUUUCUUCUUGUUUUUUUUUUUU